UUUUCUGAUUGCGUUAAAGAACUUUUUAUGCAGGCACAAUACAAUGCAAUACUUUCUCCAUUUUAUAUGGAUAAUCCAGAAAAAUUAUAAAUAUUUUUGUUCGCCUUCCACUAGCUGAGUAACGGGUAUCUGAUAGUCGGGAAACUCGAUUGUAGCAUUGUAGGCAGCAUUGAGUACACCGUAAUUAAAACGGAGAAAACCAGUUCUCAUAAAUAAACAACAAAAUUGUAUAUUUUGUAAAACCUUUAGUCGGCAAUAGUGGCCACUAUAGUCGAGUAUCAGAUAUUCUUUACUCAGUUAGUGGAAGUGCAAACGAGAAAUUUUAAAAUUCUCAUAUAGAAAUUGGAAAGAAAUAUAAAAAAUUUAGAUAGAAUUCAACAAAUUUUCAGUUUUUGGCGGCUUAUGGGCGUUAGAGUGGGAGUGUCAACGCUCAAAAAUCGCUUGCUUAAAAAAUAAUUGUAAGGGGAGAAAAUAUCAAAGGAAUAUUGAAUUUUCAGUUUGCAAAAAUUUAAAUUGAAAAUGGAUUAUUUUUUUUUAACUCGUAACUGUGUAGCCCUUACAAUAACUUUUUAUAACAAAUUUCAUAACCAUGCUCUUUUCAAUGCUUUGGAGUAACAAAACAGAAAAGCCAAUGGAUGUCAAACUAUGCAAACCAAAUUUGCAGAUCGACAAGACUGAUAGAUGAGUUCAUUUUCAGAGAGUGCGCGUUUAAAUUUUCGGGUAAAAUUUGGAAAAGUUUGUUCAAAGUGUUCGUGGAAAAUGCCACGCUUUCAUUUCAGCUCAUUUGCGCCGGGAGAUCGAUCUUUCGCCGAGGAUUGAAAAGUUGAUUUGUAUUGUAGAUAAUUUGAAAAGCGCACACCGACCGGAUAUCACACCUCGAUGAAAACAAAUGAAUGCAAGGUCGAACUAGAAGCGUUGCUAUCAGCUCAUGGAAUGGGGUACAAUUAACCGUUUGCAGCUUGUUGGUCGGCUUAUCUCAUCGACCUAGCACGCACAUCAAGGAUAGGCCAACUACUCUUCGUCAACUUGCACCAGCAGCCUUAAGCCUGCCCUUUCUUCACUAGUCAAACGAAGAAGUGCUGCAGAAUAUAACUGGUUCAAAUGCUUACCAUCAGAUGCCACCUUCACCAACAUCAAUCCGCUUUGCAUUCUACGUUAUGUUAAAUAUCAUGAUUUAUCAGGCGGCAAGUGGAGCCUCGAUGUCGACAACGCAAAUCCUUGAUAACAUAGACAUGGACGAGGACGCCCAUUUUUAAUGUGAUAGGGAGUAGUUAACAAGUAACAUCAGGAAAAACUGCGUGUGACGACGAACGACAAACGAAGCUAUACUACGGAUGCUGGCCGUGAUCUGUGCGAGAUAAGGUAAUCUUAAGCUCUCUCUCUUUGUAUUACUUAGUUCUAAACUGACAGUCGAAAUAAAGAGACGUUAUUGUAAAA